rnacentral:rRNA from 1 species
AGUGAACGCUGGCGGUAGGCCUAACACAUGCAAGUCGAACGGCAGCACAGUAAGAGCUUGCUCUUACGGGUGGCGAGUGGCGGACGGGUGAGGAAUACAUCGGAAUCUACUUUUUCGUGGGGGAUAACGUAGGGAAACUUACGCUAAUACCGCAUACGACCUACGGGUGAAAGCAGGGGAUCUUCGGACCUUGCGCGAUUGAAUGAGCCGAUGUCGGAUUAGCUAGUUGGCGGGGUAAAGGCCCACCAAGGCGACGAUCCGUAGCUGGUCUGAGAGGAUGAAUCGCCACACUGGAAAUGAGAAAAGGGUCCGAACCCUAAGGGAGGCAGCAGGGGGGAAUAUUUGAAAAUGGGCGCAAGGCCGAGCCAGCCCUACCCGGGGGGGGAAAAAGGCCCUUGGGGUUGAAAACCCUUUUGUUGGGAAAAAAAAGAAGGAGGGUUAAACCCCGCGUUUUCUAAGGGACCCAAAGAAUAAGGAACGGCUAAAUUUGGG